GUGGAUUAGAUACCCCGGUAGUCCACGCCCUAAACGAUGUCGACUAGUUGUCGGAGGCUUGCGCCUUCGGUAACGCAGCUAACGCGUGAAGUCGACCGCCUGGGGAGUACGGUCGCAAGAUUAAAACUCAAAGGAAUUGACGGGGACCCGCACAAGCGGUGGAUGAUGUGGAUUAAUUCGAUGCAACGCGAAAAACCUUACCUACCCUUGACAUGCCAGGAACUUGCCAGAGAUGGCUUGGUGCUCGAAAGAGAACCUGGACACAGGUGCUGCACGGUUGUCGCCAGCU
rnacentral:rRNA from 1 species